CGGUAAGGAAGCGGGAGUGACUUAGCGGCGGACGGGUGAGUAACGCGUGGGUAACCUGCCCCAUACCGGGGGAUAACGGUUAGAAAUGACCGCUAAUACCGCGUAAGCGCGCGAGGCCGCAUGGCCCCGGGCGAAAAACUCCGGUGGUAUGGGAUGGGCCCGCGUCUGAUUAGCUAGUUGGCGGGGUAAAGGCCCACCAAGGCGACGAUCAGUAGCCGACCUGAGAGGGUGGCCGGCCACAUUGGGACUGAGACACGGCCCAAACUCCUACGGAAGGCAGCAG
rnacentral:rRNA from 1 species